rnacentral:rRNA from 1 species
AGAGUUUGAUCCUGGCUCAGGACGAACGCUGGCGGCGUGCCUAACACAUGCAAGUCGAACGGGGGUAGCAAUACCCCAGUGGCGAACGGGUGCGUAACACGUGAGGAACAUUCCUUCCGGUGGGGGAUAGCCGGCCUAACGGCCGGGUAAUACCGCAUACGCUGUUCGGGGUGCAUACCCUGGAUCGGAAAGCAGCAAUGCGCCGGAAAGGUGCCUCGCGGCCUAUCAGCUAGUUGGUGAGGUAAUGGCUCACCAAGGCGACGACGGGUAGCUGGUCUGAGAGGAUGGCCAGCCACAUUGGGACUGAGACACGGCCCAGACUCCUACGGGAGGCAGCAGUGGGGAAUCUUGCGCAAUGGGCGAAAGCCUGACGCAGCGACGCCGCGUGUGGGAUGACGGCCUUCGGGUUGUAAACCACUGUCGCGAGGGACGAAGAUCUGACGGUACCUCGAAAGGAAGCACCGGCUAACUCUGUGCCAGCAGCCGCGGUAAUACAGAGGGUGCAAGCGUUGUCCGGAAUCACUGGGCGUAAAGGGCGCGUAGGCGGCCUGAUAAGUAGGGGGUGAAAUCCUGGGGCUUAACCUCAGGGCUGCCUUCUAGACUGUCCGGCUCGAGCACAGUAGAGGCAGGUGGAAUUCCCGGUGUAGCGGUGGAAUGCGUAGAGAUCGGGAAGAACAUCGGUGGCGAAGGCGGCCUGCUGGGCUGUUGCUGACGCUGAGGCGCGACAGCGUGGGGGAGCAAACAGGAUUAGAUACCCUGGUAGUCCACGCCGUAAACGAUGGGUACUAGGCGUCGGGGGGAGCGACCCCCUCGGUGCCGUCGCUAACGCAGUAAGUACCCCGCCU